rnacentral:lncRNA from 10 species
CCAGGACUCAGGCAAAACCCAGCUGUCCCUGGCGCUGUCUCCCAACAGCCCUGCAGGGCCCAGUGCUGGACCAGGGCCUUGUCUCCAGCCUCUCCCCCAUGGGACUCUGGGGCCUUUGGGGGCCCUUGGGGGCCUUCCUGCACCCUCACACCUACUCAUCUCUGGACUCAGCCUCAGUGUGAAUGCUCACCUCGGGCUGAGCCAACCCCUCCAGACACGUUCUGCAGCUCGAGGAAGGAACUGCCCUUUGCAGCUGGGAUCUGCCCGAGUUUCAGCAGCAGCCUUGAAUUGUAAUCCCGAGCGGCUGGCGAAUAACACAGCACACAGCACUCGAGAGCCCAGACCCUGGCAGGCACGCACAAGCUGCUGGACGUGGAGAGGAGCGGAUUGGCAGAGGAGCACUCAGGCGGCUGGACGUCGAGAGGAACGCACUGACGGGCGCCGGCACCCCGGCAGGCUACCAACCGGCAGCAGAAUGACCUGGAGUUUGGCUGGGGCAGCCAGAGGAGAGCCCGGGCCCGACUCCAGGGGAAAACCGUCCCACUCCAUCUUCUUCUGCCUUCCCCCAUCUGCUACCUCCACUCAAUAAAACCUUGCACUCAUUCUCCGAGC